GCCAUGCUUUUGCAUAUUUUAAUUACUCCCAGCAUAGUAUACAAUUUCUUGAGCCCAUAACUAGGAGCGUACAUGUGAUAUAGGUAUUAUGAGUGAGCCCAUAACUAGGAGCGUACAACUACAAUAAAUCUAGUGGACUCGGUUUUUGUGGAGGGAAACAAUUGUUUACCGUCCGAUCACAAAUGCAUCUAUUUUGAUUUUCGCCGUUCCGCCAAGAUAAUAAAUUCACCAUCCAGAUCUGUUUAUGAUUUUAAGAACGCUGACUUUGCGUCCCUUAGGGGCCAUCUACAAACAAACUGUUCUGCUAUAGAAUGGGACUCUCAUAAAGCAAACCACGAGUGAUCCAAUCACUUUGCUUUGGACCGCUGUUCGAAGUAGCGAUAUGGCACUCGUCGUGUGAGAAGACGGCACAGGUAGUCCAGUUACAUGGCGGUGUGUGUCGAAGCGACACGCUUAUACGAACUCACCUUGAAGUCAUCCGAGGCAGACGCAAACCACAUGCCAUCAUCAGAGUACUGUAACAACGACAGUAGACUGUAUUGGGGGCGGUACAGGUACCAGGCUUUACUUCGCUGUUACAAUUUGAAGGUUUACAAGAUCUGACUGCGGCUUCUACCGCACCCCUUUUUAUAUGGUCCUACGACGGCGUCCCUGUCAAGUCCGGAAGACACAAUUAUGAGCGCUACUCUGAACACAACACAAGCUUUUACUUUCAACAACCGAGCUCUACAAAUUCGGCGCGCUCUCUCCGGGCAAGCACGCUAUCUCCAUGGUAACAUCAAUCAAUAACAUACAUAACAGUCCCUCUGGUAAUCCGACACUGACAGCCAUGGAAAGCUUUUAGCUCUGUUUAGACAAAGCGUCCCAGGAACGAACUACCCCCCACCCAUGGGUGUGUCGGUUUGUUACCCUUGGGCUACCGUGACUUACGCAAUGUUUACAUGUUGCUACUGACUACGGUUGUCACACACUAACUGCUAGCUGUGCCAGUGCGCAUGGCAAGAUAUACACAUGAAUAUAAUGAUAAACAAUAUUCAAAUCAUUUUUGCUCUCAAAAUCUUAAACCGUACUAAAUCUUAAUUCCGCCGACGGCCAGGUCUGAAUCCUACUCAAGGUAAGCCCUGUGUGAACUCAUACCCAACUUUUCUUCCUUCGUUAAAAAGCACGAACCGAGAAUUGGCGGCCAAAUCCCGAUUGUCAAACACCCCUGGAAAAAGGACGGGCCACGCCUACUUUUCCACUGGGUAAAGGGUCAACUUCUUAUUUUUCCCUAUCUUAUUUCAUAGGAACAGCUAAAGUUUUUGUUGAUAUAACUUGCUCAAACAAACAGACGCCUUUUAGUUGAAUAAACAAAACAUACUUUUAACGGUCUCUUAACUUCAGGAAGGUCGUUGUUUAAUAAAGUAAUAUAAUAUUUAGUUGUCAAAGAUGACGUUAAUCUCUGUUUCGUAAUUUUCCUCCGUGACAGUACGUCACACUACAGCACUCCAGAAUGGAACCGAGCCUUUUUGAGUGUCGCGCAGCUCAAUAGCCGGACUGUUUGGUCACAUGAUCCUGAUGUCAGCAUCGCCAAAUCCGAGCUACAUGUCACAUCCAUUACCCAAUCAUAUUGGCCUCCGAGAAGAGCGAUAAUCUGUGGGUCCUCCUCCACGUCAAUAAGAGUGAUUGUCAUGUGUGGACCAGGCGCUGCCGCUAGAUGGGUUCCUUGUGGUGUGCUUUUGAAUGGAACAGAUGAAACGUCGUUGGGGAUGUUGAAGAUAAUCAGCUGUUGGGAUAUCCCAUAUGAUGACGUAUGAUGACCAUAUGAUGAAUCUGCCCCAGUGCUGGCGAGGAGCGGGCCAUCCGGGGAGAAGUCCACUGACGAAACCAGUGAAAUAUACCGCAGGCGUUCGUGCCCACUCAAAUUUUUCUUAUCCGGCCUCAUCAAUGCCAUGACCUUUUAGUGAUAAUAAAACAAAAAAUUAUGUUAUUGAAAGGUUAGAGGUGGUGGAAGCUGCUAUGUUAAGAUGUUGUUGUAAAAAAUUUAAGACACCUGGAAAAAACAUUGUUGAGGACAAAAA